rnacentral:rRNA from 1 species
UGGGGAAUUUUGGACAAUGGGCGCAAGCCUGAUCCAGCAAUGCCGCGUGUGUGAAGAAGGCCUUCGGGUUGUAAAGCACUUUUGUCCGGAAAGAAAUCCGUCUGGCUAAUACCCGGACGGGAUGACGGUACCGGAAGAAUAAGCACCGGCUAACUACGUGCCAGCAGCCGCGGUAAUACGUAGGGUGCGAGCGUUAAUCGGAAUUACUGGGCGUAAAGCGUGCGCAGGCGGCUUUGUAAGACAGAUGUGAAAUCCCCGGGCUCAACCUGGGAACUGCAUUUGUGACUGCAAGGCUAAAGUGCGUCAGAGGGAGGUGGAAUUCCGCGUGUAGCAGUGAAAUGCGUAGAGAUGCGGAGGAACACCGAUGGCGAAGGCAGCCUCCUGGGAUGACACUGACGCUCAUGCACGAAAGCGUGGGGAGCAAAC